CAAUUAAAUUGGAAUAUUCAAGGCUGGU
rnacentral:piRNA from 1 species